AGAUAAUCUAUCACUUUUGGCUGUGACAUCUGUCACCAAGUUCCAAGUUAUUUGACUGAUCUGGCUGGCUAGGUGGGCAUCCUCUCUCCCCUCCUUGCUCCAUGUAUUCAUCCCAGAUAACAAUCAACCAGAUAGAAUGAAUUGGUCAAGGAUAUACAAUAUUUGUGCUUCCCUGUUAGAACCUCCACAUAAUUUCAAGGUCCUACUACAGUAAUAUAGCAAAUAAACACAGAAGUGUUAGUGGUGGCACUUGACUUCAUCCCUGGUCAU
rnacentral:snRNA from 1 species